CCUUCUUUAACUGAGGGGUACCAACAAUUUUGUCCACGUGUGUAAAUGAUGACAACAGGAGGGUUAAUACAUCUCACAUUAGGAGGUUACAUGAAAGCAAAAAUCAAUUUUUGAGUGAAAAAUUACUAUUUGUUAGCAUGUCUGGCAUAUUUUAAGACACCUACGCUGCUAAAUAUCAUAUCCCUUUUCAAGAAAUCUUACUAAGACACUUUUCAGUUGUUCUAUUGGCAGAUUUUUGCACUUAUUUCAAGGUAAAAGUUCCUUGAAAUAAGUUUUUUUUUCUUGUUUUGAGAGGGGCAUUUUUCCUAUGAUCUAGCCUGAUUUAGCCAUUUCUUUACCACUUUUUUGUGUGUUUGUGUCAUUGCUUUGAUGGAACACCCAUCAUCUACUCCAAGAAUAACCUUCUGUUUUCUGAAAGAAUGUGGAGGUAAUCUCUGAGGGAAGAUUCACUUGCUGCCCAGCAGAUAAACUAUAUAAUUACCCAUACCAGCAUUUUUGGUCUUCUUCUUUUCCUUUCGGCUUUUCCCUUCAGGGGUCGCCACAGCGAAUCAAUUGCCUCCAUCUAACCCUGUCUGCUGCAUCCUCUUCUCUCACACCAACUACCUUCAUGUCCUCUUUAACCACAUCCAUAAACCUCCUCUUUGGACUUCCUCUAGGCCUCCUGCCUGGCAGUGGGAAACUCAGCAUCCUUCUACCAAUAUAUUCACUCUCUCUCCUCUGGACAUGUCUGAACCAUCUGAGUCUGGCCUCUCUGACUUUAUCUCCAAAGCCUCUAACAUGUGCUGUCCCUCUGAUGUACUCAUUCCUGAUCCUAUCCAUCCUGGUCACUCCCAGAGAGAACCUCAGCAUCUUCAGUUCUGCUACCUCCAGCUCUGCCUCAUGUCUUUUCCUCAAGGACACUGUCUCCAGACCAAACAACAUGGCUGGUCUCACCACAGUUUUGUAAACCUUUCCUUUCAUUUUAGCUGAAACUCUUCUAUCACACAUCACCACCUCUACUUUCACCUUACGCUGCAUCUCCCUGUACUCCUGUCUACUCUCUUGAGUCCUCUCAGUCUCCCACUUCUUCUUAGCUAAGCUCUUUCUCUGGAUCCACUCCUGCACCUCCUCAGUCCACCACCAAGUCUCCUUAUCUCCUUUCCUUCCAGAUGACACACCAAGUACUCUCCGACCUGUCUCCCUGAUCACAUUUGCUGUAGUUGUCCAGUCAUCUGGAAGCACCUCCUGACCAUCCAAAGCCUGUCUCAACUCUCUCCUGAAAGUCAUGCAACACUCUUCCUUUUUCAGCUUCCACCAUUUGGUCCUCUGCUCUGCCUUUGCCCUCUUCAUCUUCUUCACCACCAGGGUCAUCCUACACACCACCAUCCUAUGCUGUCUGGCUACACUCUCAUCUACCACUACCUUGCAGUCACUGAUCUCCUUCAGAUUACACUGUCUACACAAGAUGUAGUCUACCUGUAUGCUCCUACUUCCACUCUUAUAGGUCACCCUAUGUUCCUGCCUCUUCUGGGAGAAAGUAUUUACUACAGCCAUUUCCAUCCUUUUUGCAAAGUCAACCACCAUCUGUCCUUCUGUGUUCCUCUCCUGCCCAUGACCUCCUUAUCAUCUCAGUUUCCUGCACCAACAUGUCCAUUGAAGUCUGCACCAAUGACAACUCUCUCACUUCUAGGGAUGCUCUGCAUCACUUCAUCAAGGUCCAACCAGAAUUUCUGCUUCUCCUCCAGCUCACAUCCUACCUGUGGAGCAUACCCACUAACAACAUUGAACAUCACACCUUCGAUUUCUAGCUUCAGGCUCAUCACUCGAUCUGAAACUCUUUUUACCUCCAGGACAUUCCUAACAAACUCCUCCUUCAAGAUAACUCCUACUCCAUUUCUCUUCCUAUCUACACCAUGAUAGAACAACUUGAACCCUGCUCCUAAACUUCUAGCUUUACUACCUUUCCACCUGGUCUCCUGGACACACAGUUUGUCCACCUUCCUCCUCUGCAUCAUGUCAACCAGUUCUCUAUCUUUUCCUGUCAUAGUUCCAUCGUUCAAAGUCCCUACUCUCAGUCCUAGACUCUUGGUGUUCCUCUUCUCUCUCUUCCUACGAACACACCUUCCUCCCCUCCUUCUUCGACCAACAGUAGUCCAUUUUCCACCGGCACCCUGUAGGUCGACAGCACCGAUGGUGGUCGUUGUUAACCCGGGCCUCGACUGAUCCGGUAUGGAAGUCAUACAUUUGAUCCGCGUGAUUGAUUUGGCCAAAGCUUUACGUCGGAUGCCCUUCCUGACACAACCCUCUGUAUUUAUCCGGGCUUGGGACCGGCACAAUAAGACACUGGCUUGUGUCCCCUUGCGGCUACAUUACCAGCAUUUUUGGUAUUUUAACUAUAUUUCCAUAGUAAUACUUAUGUGCUCUUACUUAAAUCUAAGUAAAAGAAUACCUACAGUACCUUGUGGCCAUAUCUAGUGUCUUGGAACUUCUAAAACUUUCCAUGGUUUCUAAGCCUGUGUGUGAAAUAUCCAUACAGAAUGUGAUGUAUGCUAUUUUUAAAAGGCAGAUGAAUAAAAAAGAUUAAAGAUUCCUUCACAAACUGAGGUAGGCUCACGGUUUAGUGCAUGUCAGACUGAGCUUUGAUGCAAAUAUACCAGAACACUGAGCAUCAGGCAUACAUGGAUGUGACACACAGUCUGAAGUCAUCAGACUGUGUGUCACAUCCAUGAUGUGAAGUGUUGCAGGGAAAAACUUACACAACAUACUUUAGGUGCCAGUUUAUUUUGAAGCUGGAUUCACUGCAGUCGAACAAAACCAAAAUGUUGCACGCCACUGUAAAUAAAUGUCAAAAUACUGCCUCAAGAAAAAGAGGAACUUAUUGAUGUCUAUGCUUAUUACAGCUCCAGCUUUCACAAUUGAAGAAACCUCAGACAGUAAUGAUGCGUUCAAAUGCGACCAGUGGAGGUGGGGUAUUUUUAUAGGAGAACACAGGUGCACUGGGAAAAAAAAAGCCCCUCUAAAAACAAGAAAAAAAAACAUAUUUCAAGGAACUUUUACCUUGAAAUAAGUGGGGGGAAAAAAAUCUGCCAAUAGAACAAGUGAAAAAGGUCUUAGUCAGAUUUCUUGAAAUAAGAUAUGAUAUUUAGAAUAUUGAGAUCUUAAAAUUAGCUUGGGAAACAUAUUUUAAGCAAUAUUUUACCAGGAUUGUCAAGCUUAGGUGUCUUAACCCUCCUGUUGUCCUCAUUUACGGCACCAAAAAUAUUGUUUCCUUGUGUGAAAAAAAUCCAAAAAUUUGUCAAAAAAUUCCCCAAAUUUAUAAAAAAAAAUUUGCAAAUUUGCACUUAUUUCAAGGUAAAAGUUAUUUGAAAUAAGUUUUUUUUCUUGUUUUGAGAGGGACAUUUUUCCAGUCUAACUGCAGUGAUUACAUUCACCCUUUCCCUGACUUACUACAGUCAGUAUAAAUACACACUUUGAGAUAAUAAGCACUUUGGUAGGUUUGACUGCCCUCCACUCAGUAUUAUUUGCAACUUAGCCAUCAUCAUCAUCGUGGUAUUUGCUCAGUACACAUCAGCUGUCAGUCCAACUGGUUUGAUCCACACACAGUGUUCAGGUAGGCUGGAUUUGUGAAAUGUCUGUAAGUGAUGAGAGAUGUUUUAAAUAAAAAUGACAUAGUUCAACUGUUAUGUGUCACACUGGUCAUUUGGUGUCAGCUAUUGUGUCUUAACGGCACAAGUCUUCUUUUACACGCUUCAGAAGAAUUAAAUAUACAAAGCAUCACUUCUGGUUCGCGGAAGUUUUUUUUUUUUACAGCGAAGCUACAGCUGGCACAUAAUGUUCAGAACAGCCCGUGAGUAACACUUUCAUGAACUGGCAGGAAGUUGAAUCACUGCUGUAUUUUAAACACAGAGCAGUAAAUAUGACAUUUAGUCUUGAGAAAUGUCACGAUUCUUUUAUUUUUUUGUAUUAUUUCUUUGGCAGCCUAUUCCUGCAAUGGAGAAAUCAACCUUUCCAAAUGCGAGUCACGUGCAGGACGACUUGCAGCACGCUCCACUUAUAGGGAAUAUUAAAGGAUUAAAAAGAAAAAUCCAGAUUCUGCUUUGGAAAAAAGGAAUGUAUUUGCGUCAAAGCUCAGCAGUGACAUGCAGUGAACAGUGAAUCUACCUCAGUUUGUGAAGGAAUGUGUUUAUCUACCUUUCAGUGGUAGUAUGCAUCCUAUCUGCACCAUGAACAUUUCACUCACAUGUUGUUGCUUGAAUUGUAUUCUGUGCUAUAUACUGUUAAGUUGUACUUACUUUUCAGGUAGUUAUUUCCAUUUGCUCUUUGCAUUUGUUGUACUUUAAAGCAAGAAAUAGGACACUUUCCCACUCAAAGCUAAUAAUGUAAUUGAGCAGUAAGGAGCCACAGAUGGAUAAAAAAAUUAAAGAAGAAAUACAUCAUGGUCCAAUUAAACGGUCAACACUUGAUCGUACUCUGUGGCAUGUAUGAAAUACUGAGUAGCUAACUAACUGUGAUUUUAUAUGACAAUGGUAAGAAGAAAAGACAUGAGACUUUGAAAGAGGGUUCAUUGUUGAUGCACAAAUGGCAGGAGCUUCAGUCACAAAGAACAAUUAGCUCCUGAGUGUUUCCACAGAACGAUGACUAAACUGACAUCUGCAUUUAGAUCCAUCAGUGAAAAUGUUACUCUACAUUUGAAGAAUGUGAUGCAUUAACGUGAUGUGCAAUGGAAGCUUUUUCAUUACAUAUUGCACUGGCUGAUGAGCAAACUCAACCAGCUGUUCCUCAGGAUAAUGUCAGUGCAGGACAUGACGAAUGUACCUUAACAGUCACCACAUUUCAACCCAACUGAACACAUACAGUAUGGGAGAUUUCUGGACCAGCAUUAUCGACUUUACUCCCUACCCCCAUCAUCAAAACAUCAACUGAGCAAAUAUCUUCUGGAGGAAUGUCGUUCGUCCCUCCAGUAGACCUCCAGAGACUUGGAGAAUCAAUAGCAAGGAACACUGAAGCCAUUCUGGCAGCACCCAACACAAUACUGUGACACUUCAAUGUUGAGUUUUCCUUUCAUUUGUAACCCAUCUGUACAUACUGUAUAUAAUGUAUGCACAAUAAUUAAGGUUUGUUGGUUGUUUGUUCUCAGCUGAGACUUUAAAAAAAAAAAAAAAAAGAUUUGCUUUACAGUUAACAGGCUUUAGUGGAUGAGUUCCAGUUGUAUUUACACUGAUCAGGCAUAACAUUAUGACCACCUGCCUAAUACUGUGUUGGUCCCCCUUAUGACAUCAAAAAUGCUCUGAACCAUUGGGUCUGGACCAGAGGACUUCUCAUGGUGUCCUACAGGGUCUGGGCCAGGUCGUUGGCAGUUAAUCAUUUGGGUACUUUGGGUUGUGCAAUGGGCUGUCUGGAAAUCAAAUUUGUUCCAUUGCAUCCUUUUGAAGCUUGAUCAGAAUGGUGUCUUGGAAGUUUGAAGGUCAAAUCAACGUCUUGGACGAUUGUCAUGUUCCUCAAGAUGUUCCUGAUUGUUUGAUGUUUUUGCGAUGCGGUUGCAUUUCCCGGGUGGAUAGGCCACUGACAUUUGGUGUGCUUGUUCUGGAUGCCAAAAUCCAAGGUUUCCAGCAGAACACCUCAUAGUACCAAUAUGAUCAAUGUUAUUCACUUCACCUGUCAGUGGUCAUGAUGUUGCGGCUGAUCGGUGUAUAAUUUCCUUGUAGGGGAACUCAGUUGUGGUGGUCAAUCGUGACACAACCCAAGAAAAACACAGAGCGAUGUAAAAGAGAGAGGUAGUGUAAUUUCUUCUCUUGCAUUACAUCCAUCUGGUACCUGUAGUUAAAGUUAUAGCCAGAAUGUAGAUUUUUUUCACAGCUGAAAAGUCAAAACAAGCUGUAAUGUGUAGAGAGAUAUAAGGACAGGAGUGAAAGUAAGCCGGAAUGGUCCAAUACUGCAUUCCGGCAAAAGAUCUGGUGACGGAACGCAGUACCGGGAGCGAUAUUUUUUUUCAUAGGAUAGAUCCGGGAAUCUCAUAAAUAUUCAUAGUCUCCUGUUAUCUUAUUGGUCCGUUUUCAUGACAGUAGGUCCGCUCUGUCUUUGUUCCAUCCAGCCGGGCCUUGCCCCGCUGCGCACCGUGCUCUUUAAUGGAGAGAAGGUGCUGCCAAACUCCAUGAAAAGUAAGCCACAAUUUAGUAACGUCUUGCUUGCCAUUAAAUUUUCGCUUGUACAACACAGCAAAGUGUGUUUCUUUUAGCUGUUAAGACCCACUCUACAAUUCGGGGGUCAUGAAAUAAAACCAAUGAGAAUUUUUAAAAACAUUUUAAGAUUGCGCUGGCCGUUCUUGGAACAAAGUUGAAACCAGUCGGAGAAGGUGGCAAAGAACAUUGCGUAUAACUAAGCUACAUAAGUCAGGAUUUUAUCAGAAUAAUACGUUUUUUCAAGAAGUAGACGUCGCCGAAAUAAAGAGUGAUUGAUAUCCAAUAGUACAAGUUGUGAAGUCGUGUCAUACGGUCUGUGAUAUUUAUCCUUUAUCGAAAACUCUUCUAAACUGUCAAAAAAAUCAACGCAGUUCAAACGUAGGGGAGCACAUACACGUUUGUCACCGACAAUAAUCUCAGUUGAAAACGCCUUGUUGAUACCUGCUUCUGUCACAGCUUACUUCUGUCAUACUAAAAUUAUUUGGUACUCUACUUCAGUUUUUUAAAAUGUUAAUGCUCAAGAAAAACAUUGACCUCAAUCUAGACGUACUUGACUAAACUGUGUUGAUCAUGCAAUCCCCAUGAUUUCAUUGUUCAUAUAAACUAAACUAAAUAAUUCUAAAUCUAUUAUCAUUUAGAAGGUGAUCCAAUUCCCACAUAGUGUCCUCCAGAUGAGACCAACUCAGGUCUGUACACAGGCUUUAUCAUAAAUGAGUUACAUGAGAAUUAAUUUUCCUUUGUUUACAACUAUAUGCCUCUUUGUCCAACCAUCUGUAGUAAGCAUAUACACUGAAGAGCCCUUGGACUGUGGAUUGGUUCCUGCUGAGACUGACUCAGGAACAUCUGGGCUUGAGGAGGAGUUGAUGCAGUUUUUGACUUACUACAAAAGAAGCUGCGAGAUGACCCAAGCUUCCAAGCACCUGUGGCAGUCUUCGUCUCCAUCUUCAAAACAAUAAAAACAGACAGUUCCCUGCUGUCAGCUCUCUCAACUUUUGGCAAGAGCCCAGUCAUCAGACCCAGGGGCUACUUUCAAACAACUACCCAAAUUGGGGUACAACCCACUGCUGUAGCCCAGAGAAAGGUGGGGCAAGGUGGGAGAAGGGCUCUGACAUCAGGGCGGCCCACAAAGGCAUCAGCAAGGGAGCACCCAUAUUACAAAACAAGGAGAAAGAGGAGUGCUCCUCACUGUCUUGCCCACUGUGUGCAGGAGAACAUGUCACUAGGUGGAACACACUAGUUUAGCUGUGUUUAAUUCAUUAAAGGUUUGUUUAUUUUAAUGUACUGUUAUCAAUAUGUUGUGUAAAAUGUUUGCUAAAGCUUUAUUAGAACAGGGUCACGUGAAUAAAAAGUUUUGCCAUUUGUAAUAGUAGUGCUGAUUUCAACCCUCAAAUCGUUGUCCGUGAAAAAGUCAGAUAGUGAUGUUUGACUUUUCCACAGACAACGAUGACCCCAGCACAUUGAUUGUAAAAUAUUUCUUGUAACUUUAUUAGAACUUGAUAAAAGGUUCUUGAAUGAAUGGACUUUAAUACACUGUUAAUACACAAAAUACAUUUAUUUUUAAUACAGUGUUAUAUAAUGUGUUUACAUCAUUAAAUACUGAUGUUCAAAUUCCACGAACCCACAUAUUUAUAUGACAUUAUGCAUAAUAGAAAAGAGAACAGCAGAUGACUGACAUGACAUGCUCCGCACGCAGAUUCACCUCGAAUCACGGAAGUGCCUUCAUCACUCGGAUUACCAGCCAAUCACGAGGCUCCUUCAUCAGCCGGCUCAUUAAUAUUUAUGAGUUUACUGUAUUUUCAAGUGUUAUUAAUUCCUACCUAUUCCAUUGGCCUACAGUAAAAUAUUAAUAUGUUUUUAUUUGUUUGUGUUUUAACUUUGCUAUUUUAAAAUGCAUGAAGUUAGAGCGAGACGAGGGUUUUGGUAAUAGUACCGGCAAAAAUUUCAAACUACUUUCACCCCUGCUGGCGACCUGUCCAGGGUGUCCCCUGCCUUCGGCCGAGUCAGCUGAGAUAGGCUCCAGCACCCCCCGUGACCCCAGUGAGGAUAAAGUGGUGUAUAGAGAAUGGAUGGAUGGACAUGUUAGAAACAAAAUUAUGUGACAUUUUAAUUUUGAGACUAAUGGAAGACAGACAGGACUUCAGUUUCUCUUAAGGAUUUGGAGAGAGCUGUAGGAGAAGUAAAGAAGGGGAAGUUCAUACGUCAGGUGGCAGAUGAAGAUCGACAGAAUGACUUUUAAGCCCAUCAGGUCAUACAUGAACAAAUGGAGACAGAUCUUACAUUAUAUGAGGUGUAAAAUUUCUACACCAGUGUUUCAGCAUUUUACAUUUACCCAAACCCAUUCAUUGUGUGCUUUCUUUACCGUAAAUAUGACAGUUAAAUGUUUAAAAAAUAACUACAUUACAUAUUUGCUUCAUUGCAUUUGUUUAUUCUUUUUUGAAAACUUUAUAUAUAAGGUUUUUGGUUUUUUGGAUACAGAAUAGAAAGACAACAAAACGGAAUGUAACAAAGAACAUUAAAUCAGACCCUCCCUCAAAAAGUAAAUAAAUAAAUACAAAAAUACAAACACAAAAUAUAAAAAGUAUAUACAAAGAAAAAACAAACAACCAAACAAUCAAAAAAAAAAAGUGGAAACCAAA